CGAAUGCAUCUAGAUUAGAGUUGAUCAUGGCUCAGAUUGAACGCUGGCGUGCCAAGCUUAACACAUGCAAGUCGAGCGGGGAAGGUUGCUUCGGUAACUGACCUAGCGGCGGACGGGUGAGUAAUGCUUAGGAAUCUGCCAUUUAGUGGGGGACAACAUUCCGAAAGGAAUGCUAAUACCGCAUACGUCCUACGGGAGAAAGCAGGGGAUCUUCGGACCUUGCGCUAAAUGAUGAGCCUAAGUCGGAUUAGCUAGUUGGUGGGGUAAAGGCCUACCAAGGCGACGAUCUGUAGCGGGUCUGAGAGGAUGAUCCGCCACACUGGGACUGAGACACGGCCCAGACUCCUACGGGAGGCAGCAGUGGGGAAUAUUGGACAAUGGGCGGAAGCCUGAUCCAGCCAUGCCGCGUGUGUGAAGAAGGCCUUAUGGUUGUAAAGCACUUUAAGCGAGGAGGAGGCUACCAGUAUUAAUACUACUGGAUAGUGGACGUUACUCGCAGAAUAAGCACCGGCU
rnacentral:rRNA from 1 species